rnacentral:snoRNA from 1 species
CUGGCUCUGAAUCAAGGCUGGCAGCUUCCUGAUGCUGUUGGUUUCAAGCAGGAGCCUAAAGAGAUGUCUUUGAACUUGAAGCACCCCCC